AUUGAACGCUGGCGGCAGGCCUAACACAUGCAAGUCGAGCGGGGUUUUCGGACCUAGCGGCGGACGGGUGAGUAAUGCGUAGGAAGCUGCCCGAUAGAGGGGGAUACCAGUUGGAAACGACUGUUAAUACCGCAUAAUGUCUACGGACCAAAGUGUGGGACCUUCGGGCCACAUGCUAUCGGAUGCGCCUACGUGGGAUUAGCUAGUUGGUGAGGUAAUGGCUCACCAAGGCGACGAUCUCUAGCUGGUUUGAGGGGAUGAGCAGCCACACUGAAACUGAGACACGGUCCAGGCUCAGACGGGAGGCAGCAGUGGGGAAUAUUGGACAAUGGGCGCAAGCCUGAUCCAGCCAUGCCGCGUGUGUGAAGAAGGCCUUCGGGUUGUAAAGCACUUUCAGCGAGGAGGAAGGGGUGUGUGUUAAUAGUACACACCUUUGACGUUACUCGCAGAAGAGGCACCGGCUAACUCUGUGCCAGCAGCCGCCGUAACAC
rnacentral:rRNA from 1 species